rnacentral:rRNA from 1 species
GGGGAAUAUUGGACAAUGGGCGGAAGCCUGAUCCAGCCAUGCCGCGUGUGUGAAGAAGGCCUUUUGGUUGUAAAGCACUUUAAGCGAGGAGGAGGAGCUCUAGGCUAAUACCCUAGAAGCUUGGACGUUACUCGCAGAAUAAGCACCGGCUAACUCUGUGCCAGCAGCCGCGGUAAUACAGAGGGUGCAAGCGUUAAUCGGAUUUACUGGGCGUAAAGCGCGCGUAGGCGGCUAAUUAAGUCAAAUGUGAAAUCCCCGAGCUUAACUUGGGAAUUGCAUUCGAUACUGGUUAGCUAGAGUGUGGGAGAGGAUGGUAGAAUUCCAGGUGUAGCGGUGAAAUGCGUAGAGAUCUGGAGGAAUACCGAUGGCGAAGGCAGCCAUCUGGCCUAACACUGACGCUGAGGUGCGAAAGCAUGGGGAGCAAAC